AGGGAUUCUUCCCCAAGGGACGAAAGUCGAAUGGAGCACCGCCGCGGGGGUGAUGAAGUUUUUCGGAUCGUAAAACUCUGUGUAAAGGGAAGACCAAGUACUUCAGGAAAUGUACGAACCUUGACGUACCUUAUUAGAAAGCCACGACUAACUACGUGCCAGCAGCCGCGGUAAUACGUAGGUGGCAAGCGUUGUCCGGAAUUAUUGGGCGUAAAGCGCGCGCAGGUGGUUUCUUAAGUCUGAUGUGAAAGCCCACGGCUUAACCGUGGAGGGUCAUUGGAAACUGGGAGACUUGAGUGCAGAAGAGGAAAGUGGAAUUCCAAGUGUAGCGGUGAAAUGCGUAGAGAUUUGGAGGAACACCAGUGGCGAAGGCGACUUUCUGGUCUGCAACUGACGCUGAGGCGCGAAAGCAUGGGGAGCAAACA
rnacentral:rRNA from 1 species